UAACAGACCAUGCUGGAGAACACGAAGAUGGGCACAACCGAAUACCAGCCGGGCGCAUGCUCACAAGUCCGUAAAGGUGAUGGCACCGCAACCCUCUUUCCUCCCCGUUUGAGGAUUUCUAAGCUACCGCGAGAGAAAUAGAGAGAAUGGGGAGUGAAAGUCGGAGCACCGCCGUUGUAGCCGCAUACUGGUGUUUGCCGCAAACGGGUCCGAUCGGGAGUCUUCAUCAGAGAGCGGUGAAGGUUGCAGCGGUUCCGGUGCUGGGAGAAGACCACUGGGGGCCAUGAGAUUUCUCACCAGAGCCAGGGAAGGGCCACCGGCCGCACCACGCCGUGGCCAAACAUCGUCGCGUCAUCAUCGUCGUGGAUGGAAGGGCGCCGCCGCCCGGUGCCGGCUAUGGGAGGAGAUGCGAAGGAGACCUAAUCUUAGGAAAAAAACAAAACUAUUUUUGUAGGUAUCUAUAUGCUUGAAUGUUUGUUCUUAUGAUACCUGUUUGAUUUGGUUCU